rnacentral:lncRNA from 1 species
UCGACAUACCUUUGCAUCUUUUGCAGGUGCACGGUAAGAGACUCUCCAUGACCCAUCUUAGCGGAAAUCAUGUUAGUGAAAAUCUCAUAACGCUCUUGUCUCGCGUUUUGGUGGUAUCUCUCCAAUAAGUCUUGAUGCAUCUCGUACGGGUACAUGUCCUCAUAGGACUUUUGGAAUUCGGAGUUCAUGGUGGCUAUCAUGAUGCAAUGUACCUUCGUUGCAUCGCACUCAUGAGUUUCAAAAGCAGUAAUUUCAGCCAGAGUAGCGAUUUCAGGGUUGAUUUUCUCGAGCUUAUCAUCGAGGACAUACUCCUUAUCCUCAUAGCGAGCAAUGGUGCGAAUGUAUCUUAUCCAUUCGCUAAACUUCGUUCCAUUGAAAGUAACCUUUUGACAAAGGCUCAUCAAUGUGAAAGAACUAGCAGCAGCGUUGUUUGCGUUCGACAUCUACAAGUAGAAAGGACAAAGAUAGAUUAGAAUAUGAAUCCCUAAUUAUCAUCCAAUAAGAAAAAUUGGGGCUAGGAUCCAACAACAAUAUUUACAUAUUAGACAAAGGGUGUCGUAAUCCAACAUGCAAAUAAUAUGAAGUUAAGUGAAUGACGAUUCACUGAUUCUCCACCAUAAAACCAUAACUUUAAGUCCUAAAUGUAUUGAAAAUUCCUAGGUUUAGAUGAGAUUCAUUGAAACUUUUCAAUGGCAUGUUUAAAUCUCGAUAUGCCCCUCUUGUUUGUGACUGGGAUACCGAGGAUCACAAAGCGGGUGUGAAUUACCAUGCAAAUUCACAUGGUGCCUUCAUUGUAACGAUCACCUAUUCGAUGUGCCGGUAAACCACACACGCUCCAUCGAACUAUGAUAAACAAUGAAUCACCCUUUGCCACCUUUGCUUAGAACCAAUUAGUGUGCCGGUAAACCACACAUGCUCCACUAACUUCUCAGCAAGGGUGCAAAGUGUAAUUUCAUGGGAUUGCAUCAAUUCACUUUUCCUAAAGUAACUAAGAUUGGGAAAUUUUAAAAAAAAUGUAGUUACUUUGUAUUUCAUAUUAUACUUUUAAUGAGAGGAUGAGGUUGCCCUAUCCUACCCGUUCGGCUAACGACCCUCCACCGAUCAAGCAAGCGGUGGGUGUGAGUGUACACCCAUUAAGCGCCAUUUUAUAGGCCGCAACCUUAUACCCACCUUAUAGAUCGGCUUCGUGAAUGAGGCCUACUAACGGUAAGACUAGCAUUUAGUUAUACAUAUAUAUAUUAUUCUAGUAAUAUCAUAUUAGUAUAGGGUUGUAUUUUAAAACUUUUAAAAUCUAGGGUUUGAAAUUUAAGUUGUCUAAAUUAAAACUUUUAAUCACAAAAGUAAAUUUCAAAACAUGAGGGUAGGUUUUAAACAUUUAAAACAUGGAGGAUCAAAUAACAAAUAAUUCCAAUUAACAAUUAAUAUCCUAAUUAUCUAUAUUUGAUUUAUUCAAGAUUUCUUUUAAAGAUAAUUACCAAAAUAAUUAAAAUAAUUAAUUAAUUAUCAUAUAAGGAAAUUAAAUAUUUAAUUAGUUGAUAAAUACCUUUAACUAGAUCAAGAUAAUAGUCAUAUAUAUCAAAAAAUCGGAUUAGGGUUGAUCUAAUAUGAUAAAGGCAAGUUUCCAUAAGAUAAAUAUCAAAAAAUCCCGAUUUGGCCCUUCCUGACGCUCGGACUCGUCGAGUUCCCAACUGGACUCGUCGAGUCCACCAUGGGACUCGUCGAGUUCAUGACACAGAAACACAAAAUUCGAAUUUUGCAAGCAAGAAACAAACAAUCAAGCAUCAAUUUAAUAGAAACCAAUCUAGGCUCUGAUACCAUUGAUGGGUUUUGGCCAUAUGAACAUUCCUAUGUGCACAUGCAAACCCUAAUGCUUGGAUCUAGGUUUCUCUAAUUAAACAUGCAUUGAAUCCAAGACUUCUAAUGGCUAAUAGAGUAUAAGAACAAUACAAAAUCAGAGUUAGAAGCUUACCUUGAAACACUUGUUUGAUCUUCUUGUUCUUGGAGCUUUAGAGUCACAAAUGUCACUCCUCUAAUGGCUUACAAACACCAACUAGCAAGAGGAUGAUUUGAGAGAGAGGAGAGGGAAUAGAAAUCGGUCAGGGUUUCUUUGCUUUUGCAGAGGUGUCGAUUUCCCUUGCCCCAUGGGUCUAUUUAUACUUGUAAGGCUCCUAGGGUUUCACUCUUAAACCCUAAUUGGAUAACUUCUACUCAAAGCAAUCCAUAUCCUUUCUAAGAUAAGCCCUUGGACAAUUUGUGGCUUAUCCCAAGCCCUAGAAAUCGUCCAACCCUAUCCAUGAAGGAUUUACAGCCCAAAGUGUAACUAUCAAACAAUUGACAGUUUAUACCCUCUUAUUUAAUUAAUCUCUUUAAGUCACCAAAUUAAUUCUAAUUAAUUUUAUGACUUAUAUUAAUCAAAUAACAAUAUUAUUACUCCUUAUAUUAUUCUCAUAAUAUAUUAAUAAUAUUUAUUCUCUCAUAAUAAAUCAUCCUGUCAAGUUGCUAUGGUGAAGGCAACCUAAAAGGACCAUGCACAAUCGGGUCAAAUACUUGCUUAAUAUAGUUGCAGCCUUAAACACUAUUCCAACACUAGGAAGGAUGCCUUAUGUGCCUGUUAUAUGUAUUUCAGCUUUAUGAGAACUGCAUGCUAGUACAGAAUUAUCAGUAUGAUAGCCAGAGUAGUAUAUGCUUGCAUAUGUGUACUCAAUGCCCGAAUGCUGCUUGCUUUGUGCUUUUAGUAGUUAUAGUUGUCUUUCACUAACUAGUAAACGAAUAUGCUAAGUUACAUAUUGCAAGGACUAAAUAAUUUUAGAAGGUUAGGUCUAGCUCUACUUCGCAACUCUUGUUUGAGUCCAACCGUUGUAGGGUAGGAUCUCUCGUUCGAAGAAUUAUCUAGUCUGAGUAAUAUGUAAUAGUAUUCGCGAUUUAGUUAGGGGAAGAAAGCAGAGAAUUCUUAUGAAGCUAACAGCGGAGAGCGAGUUGGUGAUUACCUUAGGGCAAGCCUAGGAUGAGAGUAGCAGGGAGCAGUAGCAGUAGAAAGGACUUGGUGGAGUCAAGGAAGUCCUUGAGGAAAGUACGGAUAGAUAUGGAAGGUAGUAUGGGCCCGUACUACUGAAAGCAGAGGAUCCGUACUCGAAUCAAGGAAGGCUAAGAUAAGACCAGGGAACUUGUAGUGUAUGUGAUCCCUCUAGUUAUACUGGUAUUCUGACGUUUGUCAUUAUGUGUUUUCAGAAUGGUGGUUUUACGCCUUAGACCAGUAGUCGGCAGUUCAGGUGCCGGGGAGGGAUCAGGUUCAGGCUCUGGAGUCGAGCAUUUAGAUGAGCAGACUAGAGAGUUCAUCUCCUCAAAGAUCACGCAUAGCAUACUUAAGCAGACCCCUGUCAACUUCGGUUCGAUCAAGGAGGGUAUUCUGUAGCUUAUGAAUGAGAGAUUGAGUGCGUUUCGCACUAAGGUGGCGGCCAUGAUGGGGUCGCUCACGCUCACGUUCAGAGAGUUCAUGACAUGCGGAGCUCCUGAUUACCAGGGGCUCGAGAACCCAUUGCUAGUACCAGAUGGUUGGCAAAAGUCGCCAACGCAUUCCGCACCAGCAGGUGUCCCGAGGGGGACAAGGUUAGGCUCUCAUCCUGUCUUCUGAAGGGAAGGGCACGUGACUGGUGGGAGGAGGUCGGAAAAGCCAUUGGAGAUUACACUGUGUUGGAUGCUAUGACCUAGAGUGAUUUCACAACCAGGUUCAUAGCGGAUUUCAAACCUGUAUUUGCAACCGCUUGCUAGGGAGUUUCAGGACCUCCAGCAGACAACGACGACUGUGGCGGAGAUUACCGCCAAGUUUAGGGAGAGGGCCCUUCUUGUUCUGUAGUAUGUGGCGGACGAGGAGAUGAAAAAGGUCUGAUAUCAUGAGAUGUUGCAAAGUGAUAUCCGCCAGUUUGUGAGCCAGUCCAGCUGCAAGACGCUAGACGAUAUGAUAGCGAGGGCGAGAGAGAGAGAGAGAGAGAGAGAGAGAGAGAGAGAGAGAGAGAGAGAGAAAGAGAGAGUUAGAUUUAGAGAUGGAGAGGAAUAGGAAUCCAGAGGGAAUUCAGACAGGAGGUUCAGGCAAGCAUCCCAACGUAUCAAAUCACAGAUCUCGGAGCCAUCAGAGCCACGGUCGCUGUGGCAAAUGCGGCAGGAUGCACGAGGGAGCGUGCAAGGCAGGGAGUUCGGGCUGCUACAAGUGCGGCUAAAUUGGUCACAUGAGAUGAGAUUGCACAGUUGCUACCACCACCACACCAGCAUCAGACCUGAUUUGUUUUCAGUGCAAUCAGAGGGGACACAAGCGAUCCCAGUACCCGAGCUUAGCAGCAGCAGGGAAGGUGGUAGCACCUUCUCCUAACACCUUGAGGAUUACAGAUGGCCAUUAGGGCCGGGCUAAUGCGCCUACGGCGCGAAGUAGGGCUUUUCAGCUUACUACAGAGAAGGCACGAGCAGCUCCUGACGUGGUCACGGGUAUGUAUUUGUUGGGUUUUGGUAUACUACAACAUCCGAUGGUGAACAUACAACCCUAAAUACCUUGUAUCUAUGUUUUCUCUAUUACACAAGCAAAUAUGAAGUUUCCAAGGUAUUACCCUAUACUAGCAUACAAAUAUCAUAUACUACCCAAGAAUCUAGUUAGGAUAACAUACAUUAUGGUGGAUCUUGAAGUCUUGAUGUAUCUAGCCUUAAGAGCUUAACCCCAAUAGUGUGGAUGCCUCAAGUGGAAUCACAACACACCAGGGACAAAGGAUGAACUUGAGAGAGAAUCUUCAUGCACCUAAAAACACCCAUGAAAUCCAAGAACUUCAUGUGUAACCACAAGUGGCAUUUUUAGGUCAUGAUGCAUGUAUUUAUAUGUGUGGUAUUUCAAGAUUCAUGGAUAUAACCCAAAUGCAUACCCAUGGGUUUUAUGAUCCAUGGUUCAUGUGGCCCAACUCUUUAUGUAUCCAUACAUAAACUUGGUCCAACAUGGAUCAUAAGCCCAACACAUAUAAAUAUAACUAAUUAACAUAAUUAGUCCCCAUAGAUUUAAUUAGUCUCUUUUGAUCACCAAAUUAAUUCUUGAUCAAUACUAACUAACUCAUAUGAUUUCAUAUUAAUAUAUUAUAACUUAUAAUAUAUUAAUAAAUCAUAUAUAACAUCUUCUCUCAAAAGUCCAUCCUAAAAAAUUGUCUAGAUGUUAUGCAACCCAAAUGAACCAUGCUACUCUCGGGUCAAGUACAUACCAAUAAUAGUUAUGGGCUUAGACAUCUAAUCCCACAUUAUUUUCCUCUUAUCUCUGUAUUUGAUAUUGUUUGUUUCUCAUGUUUAUGUGUUUGUGUAUAGGGUCAUUCUUAGUGACGACAUUUCAGCUAUGGUAUUGUUUGAUUCGUGGGCUACCCGAUCUUUUGUGUCACUCGCACUUAGCAAGCGAUUUAGCAGACUUCCAGAGGAGCUGGAUUGCCCACUCGACAUUGAGAUAGUUGAUGACAGGACCGUCAGGGUCACGAGAGUUCAUAGAGGAUGUACACUGCGGUUAUUUGAGGAACAGUUCUUAUGAAUCGCAUGUGCAGACCAAUGUUGGAUCAGUCUGUAAUAGUAUUCAUGGACGGCAUAUUGGUUUAUUCUAAGCCUUAGGAGCAGCAUGAGGAUCACCUGAGGAAGGUGCUAGAGACCUUGAGGAGGGAGAGACUUUUCGCAAAGUUCUCCAAGUGUGAGAUCUGGUUGUGCGAGGUGCAGUUUCUGGGGCACCUCGUCAACCAGAAGGGUAUAUUAGUUGAUUCGGCAAAGAUAGAGGCCGUGAUGCAGUAGGAAGUCCCGAGGUCUCCAUCUGAGAUUCGGAGCUUCCUGGGCUUGGCAGGGUAUUCCAGGGGAUUUAUCCAGGACUUCUCCAAGAUAGCACUUCCGUUGACCCGACUGACCAAGAAGUCGGUGGUGUUUCGUUGGGGUCCUAAGCAGCAGAAAGCCUUUGAGACGCUCAGGCAGCGACUAUGCGAGGCACCGAUUCUUACCCUGCCAAAGGGAGUAGAUGACUUUAUAGUCUACUGUGACGCUUCGAUCAUAGUUAUGGGAGUAGUGUUGAUGCAGCGGGGGCAUGUGAUAGCUUAUGGCUCGAGACAGUUGAAGCCUCACGAGGCUAACUACCCGACGCAUGAUUUGGAGUUGGGGGCAACAGUGUUCGCCCUCAAGAUUUAGCGGCAUUACCUCUACGGGGUCUGGUGUACUAUCUACACGGACCACAAGAAUUUGAGAUACCUCAUGGAUUAGCCGAAUCUGAACAUGAGGCAGCGUCGGUGGUUAGAUGUAGUAAAGGAUUAUUACUGUGAGAUCCUUUACCACCCGGGCAGGGCCAACGUAGUCGGUGAUGCCUUGAGCCGCAAGGCGGUAGCGGCUCCGAUUUGAGAUAUCUGUCUGAGGAUGACAGUGAUUACUCCACUGUUGGAGAAAAUUACGGAGGCACAGGUUGAUGGCCUGAAGGAGGAGCGCCAUUAGUGAGAGAGGAUAGUGGUCCAAGUAGCUUCGUUUGAUUACGAUAGCCAAGGAUUGUUGACCCUUCAUGGGAGGGUCUAGGUACCGUACUAGGGCGGUAUACCGCAGGUGUUGAUGGAUAAGGCCCACAAGUUUCGGUUCUCCAUCCAUCCAGGGGCAACGAAGAUGUACAAAGAUCUUCGAUCCGAUUAUUGGUGGCCUUGCAUGAAGCGGGACGUAGCAUCGUAUGUGGAGAGAUGCAUGACUUGUAGGAAGGUCAAGGUAGUGCACCAGAGGCCCCACGGAAAGAUGCAGCCGUUAGACAUUCCCGUGUGGAAAUGGGAGGAUAUCACUAUGGAAUUCAUUACUAAGCUUCCCAAGACUGCACGUGGGGUCGAUCCGAUAUGGGUCAUUAUGGAUCGGUUGACCAGGAACGCCCAUUUUAUACCAAUCCAGGAGAACAUCUCGGCCGAGAAGUUGGCCGAGAUAUAUGUCCGAGAUGUAGUGGCACGUCAUGGAGUUCCUGUCUCGGUGGUGUCAGACCGAGAUGUCCAAUUUACUUCCAGGUUUUGGAAGCGGUUUUACGACGAGAUGAGUACUCGUCUCUGUUUCAACACCGCUUUCCACCCUCAGACAGACGGGCAGAGCAAGAGGACGAUUCACACUGUCAAGGACAUGCUUCGGGUAUGUGUGCUAGAUUUUGGUGGCAGUUGGGAUAUGUACCUUUUGUUAGCAAAAUUUUCGUAUAACAACAUCUAUCACUCCAGUAUAGACCAGCCUCCCUUCGAGAUGCUCUACGGGAGGAAGUGUAGGACCCCAAUCUGUUGGGGUGAGGUCAAUUAGAGAGUCAUGGGGAGUACGGAGGUAGUACUCAAGACCACGGAGCGGAUUCAGCAAGUCCGAAGCAGGCUCCAGACUACUCAGGGUCAACAGAACAGUUAAGCUGACAAGCGACUUUUGGACUUGGAGUUUCAAUUGGGUGAUAUGGUCCUCCUGAAAGUGUCACCCUGGAAGGGUGUUAUCAGGUUUCGGAAACGGGGAAAGCUGGGCCCCAGGUUCAUUGGUCCAUUUAUGGUUUUGGCCCGGGUGGUUCAGGUUGCCUAUCGGUUAGAUCUUCCAGUAGAGCUCAGCCAGAUCCACAACACGUUCCAUGUUUCUCAGUUGCGGAAGUGCUUAGUGGAUGAUUUAGCAGUGGUACCCCUUGAGGACAUUCAGGUUGACGAUAGCCUAAACUACAUCGAGAGACCAGUGGAGAUUUUAGAUCGCAAGUCAAAGAAGCUGAGGAACAAGAGGUUAGAGUUAGUGAAGGUGCAGUGGUAGCACCGCAAGGGUUCGGAGUGGACAUUAGAGUCCGAGGAGGAAAAGAGGGAGCACUACCCAGAGUUGUUUUCAGAGACAACAUACUUUGAGGACGAAGUAUAAGACAAGUGGGGGAGAAUUUUAACACCCGGUAUCAUGUACACAUUUAAAUUCAAGCCAAACUUCAUAUUUUACCCUUAGACUCAGCGAGUUGGAGGCCCAUCUCGUCGAGUAGGAUCGACUCCGGGUUGGGGAACUAAGCGACCUACUCGAUGAGAUGGAGGACCAACUCAGUGAGUAGGAGCUGUCUGAGUGAAACCCUAAAUUGGAGGGUUUGCACUCUAUUUAAACAUCUUAUGAGGCUUCCACCCCAGCCUCUAUCCCCUUCAAGCUCUGUCCUCGAAACCCAAAUCAAUUGUGAGCAUUCUUGAGCAAUUUGUGCCUUUCCUUGUGGUUUGAAGUUAGAAGAAGGAAGGGAAAACUUGGUGAAUCAACAAGCAAGUCAGUGGAUCCAGAGUUGUGGUUGCACUUCCUAUUAUUCAAGGUAAAGAGCUCCUAUCUUGACUCCUUAAUUGGUAGAUCUACUUUGAGGCUUGAAUCUUGGCAUCUUUGGGGGCAUUUCCAAACCAUUUCGUAUUGUAGAGUGUAAUAUAGGGUAAAUGCUUCAGAUCUGAAACCUUGGAGGGUUCUCAUUGCAUAAAGGUGCCAACUCUAUGGCUAUAAGAACCCCAUGCAUGUAAUAAACCCUAUUUUUGGUCUUUUGAGCUAAAAAGUCCCAUGCAUGGACGUAAAGUUCAUGACUUUACGUGUUGUACCGACCUUAGGAGUCCAGAUCUACCCUUUGGAUGAGUUUAGUACAACAGAAAUCGAGUUAUGGGCAUGGACAUUAGUUGACUCGAUGAGUCGUUCUUGGGACUCGGUGAGUCAGGGGUUUGGUUCCCCAAACUUUUCUGAUUCAAAGGGAUCUAGUUGAGUCUAGAAGGGAUCUAGAUGAUUCCAGAAGGGGGACUUCACAAAAUAGACGUAGUUAUGGACCUGGAAACCAUGGGACUCGGCGAGUGUAUGAACACACUCGGCGAGUCCAAGGCAAUCUCCCAACCCAUAAAUACAGACUUGACAAUUUGUUCAUACAACUCGACGACUCACACACUAGUCACACUCAUAUGAUGAAGAUGAACUCGAUGAGCUCAAGGAUGAACUCAGCGAGCCAGAUGAAGAUAGUCUCGAUGUUAUGUUUGAAGGAGAACUCGUCGAGCUCUUGCUAGAAUCGACGAGUAGAGUAUGGGUUGGGAACAGAUGAAAGAAUAGGGACUCGACGAGUUGGUGAUCCAACUUAGCGAGUCAGGUCAACUGGGUGUUGACUUUGACCAAGAUGUUGACUUUAGCCAGGGGUAAAAUGGUCAUUUUACCCUAAGAGUAGUUAUCAGUUUUUGACUAAGUACCUUUAUGGAAAUUUAUAGUCGGAGAGUCGCUGGAGCAGCAUACAGAGAUUCCUCACCUAGAGUUGCAGUAGUCAGUCACACGAGGUGAGUUUUCCUCCAGUGGGAAUGGGUCUAAGGCACCAAUGUCGACCCCGUUUAAGUAUUUAUAGUAUGUUGGGGUUAGCCUGAUGUAGUUCAUAUGUUUCCGGACUUCGUUCCGAUGUCGAGACGGUCCGAAGAAGUAGUUACGUAUGCGUAAUGUCUUUGUGAUUCAUGUAUGUUGUAUGUUGUAUGUUAUAUGUUAUGUGUUAUGUGUAUCGGGCUUCAGCCCGAUGCCGGGGAAAGCCCGAUGUAUGUUAGUUUAUACGCUAUGAGUUAUGUGUUCCGGGGCAAGCCUGACGUAUGCUAGUUUGAAUGCUAUAUGUUAUAUGUUCCGGUCUUCGGUACGAUGUCGGGGCAAGCCCGAUGCAGAUUAUGUGAUUUUAUUAUAUGUUUAUGAUAUAUGUCAUGCUAUGUAUGUUUCGGGGUAAGCCCGAUGCCGGGGUGCCCCCGAUGCCCGAUGCUGUAAGAUGCCGGGGUGAGCCCGAUGCCGGACAGGAGUCCGAUAUCGGGUAAGCCGAUGUCGGGAUUCCUCCCGAUGCAGUUGGGAGUAGUCCAGGAGUAUUGUUAUUUGUGAUAUGUUAUUUGUAUGGUAUGUGGUAGAUUGGGGGAGAUCACUAAGCUUCAUGCUUACAGUUUCAGUUUUGGUUUCAGGUACUUCCGGUAGCAAAGGGAAGAGCUCGGGAUGAUCGCAUGGCACACACCACAGUCUUCAGCAUGGGAGUUUUACUAUGAUAUUUUGAAAUGAUAUUCGGUAUGAGAUUUGAUAUGUGAUAGAUAUUAUAACAUUUUGAAACACAUGGUUUAUGAUUUUCAUACUUUGGUUAUGAUAUUAUGGUUUUAAUAUUGUUUUAAAAACAAAAUUUUUGGGUUGUAUUUGUGGGAUGUUUCAUAUAACUCGGCGAGUCAUAGACUGGACACAUUCAUAUGAUGAACACGAACUGAAUGAGUUCAAGGAUGAACUCGGCGAGUCGGUUGAAGAUAGUCCCGAUGUUAUGGUUAAAGGAGAACUCGUCAAGUUCUUGCUAGACUCGAUGAGUAGAGUCGAGGAUGGAGUCAUUUCGAAAGGAUAAGGACUCGACAAGUUGGUGGACCAACUCGGCGAGUCAAGUCAAUUGGAGGUUGACUUUAACCAGGACGUUGACUUUUUCCAGGAGCAAAAUGGUCAUUUUACCCUAAGAGCAGUUAUCAGUUUUUGACUAAAUAUCCUUAUGGAAUUUAUAGUCGGGGAGUCACCGAAACAGCAAACAGGGAUCUCUCUUUCGGAUUUCAGCAGACAGUUAGCUUUACAAGGUGAGUUUUCCUUUAGGAGGAACGGGUCUAAGGCACCAAUGCCGACCCUUUUAAGUAGUUAUAGUAUGUCGGGUAAGCUUGAUACCGAGGUUAGCCCGAUGCAGUUCAAAUGUUUCCGGACUUCGGUCCGAUGUCGGGGCGGUCCCGAGAAGUAGUUAUAUAUGCGUGAUGUCUUUGUGAUUCAUGCAUGUUGUAUGUUGUAUGUUGUAUGUUAUAUGUUAUGUGUUAGGUGUACCGGGCUUCAGCCCGAUACCGGGGCAAGGCUGAUGUAUGUUAGUUUAUAUGCUAUGAGUUAUAUGUUGUGGGCUUCAGUCUGAUGUCGAGGCAAGCCCAAUGCAGAUUAUGUGAUUUUAUUAUGUGUUUAUGAUAUAUGUCAUGUUGUGUAUGUGUCGGGGUAAGCCCGAUGUCGGGGUUGGCUUAGAUCUCUUCUUGGGUUUAUUUGUAUGCUUUUACCCAUGGAUGGGUGGUUGUUGGGGAAGUAGAUCUCUUCUUGGGUUUAUUUGUAUCCUUUUUAGAUCUAUGAUCUUCAUGAGCUCUUUUGGUAUAAAGGUGCCAACUUUUUGGUCUUAAGGACUUCAUGCAUUCAUUAAGUCCUUCUUUUGGCCUCUUUUGAGCUUCUUCUAGUCAUGAAUAAGUGUAAAGUUGGAAACUUUACGUGGCCAUCUAUCCUCAUAUGGUCAGAUCUUCAUUUUGGAGUUGUGACCUUGUUGAGUAAGUGUUUAAUGAUUAAGUCCUUACCCUUUUAAGUUUAGGGCUUGGGAUUUGAACCCAUUUUGGUGGUUCUUAGGGGUAAAGUUGGAAACUUUACCCUUCUUGAGGUCAUUUCAGUUAAGAUCUGGGUUGAGAAGCCCUUAGUUUUGAAAAGGCGGCUUAAUGAAUUAAGAGGUUAGAUUUCUGGCAAAUUCGGCAAGUUCAUGGGUGAGAUCGAUGAGUUGAUAGGGUUUUGCUCGAUCAUUGCAGACUAAUGAAGAAACUCGACGAGUUG